CCUAACACAUGCAAGUCGAGCGGGUUUUCGGACCUAGCGCGGACGGGUGAGUAAUGCGUAGGAAGCUACCCGAUAGAGGGGGGUACCAGUUGGAAACGACUGUUAAUACCGCAUAAUGUCUCGGACCAAAGUGUGGGGACCCUUCGGGCCACAUGCUAUCGGAUGCGCCUACGUGGGAUUAGCUAGUUGGUGAGGUAAUGGCUCACCCAAGGCGACGAUCUCUAGCUGGUUUGAGAGGAUGAUCAGCCACACUGGAACUGAGACACGGUCCAGACUCCUACGGGAGGCAGCAGUGGGGAAUAUUGGACAAUGGGCGCAAGCCUGAUCCAGCCAUGCCGCGUGUGUGAAGAAGGCCUUCGGGUUGUAAAGCACUUUCAGCGAGGAGGAAGAGUUGUGUGUUAAUAGUACACAGCUUUGACGUUACUCGCAGAAGAAGCACCGGCUAACUCUGUG
rnacentral:rRNA from 1 species